GGCGGCCCCCGGCCCGGCCCGGGCCACCUCCCCUCAGCAGCAGCAGCACCUCCCCUCACGGGAGGGGGCGGGGAGCGAGGCAGGGCCGCGACGGCCGCCCCUUCUUCCCCACCGCCCCGUCACCAAGGUGUUGUGGGGUGACGGUUGGCGGGGGAAUCCGCUGCCGCGCCGGUGGGGAGGCGCUUUCCCGCCCGGUUCGUGACGGGGGGGGAGGGCCGGCCAGGCACCUGGGGCUGCAGCUGAGAGCCUGGGCGGUGGGGAAAGCGGGCGACUGAUCGGAGGACUCCCCCCGCUCUCUGUGGUAAAUCAAGCCCGGGGUGUGGGCCCGCGGCUGCCAGGCCCCACGGAAGGAGGAGCCGGGCGCCUCCGCGUCCGCAUAGUCCGGGUGCCCAGAGCCUGCAGCGGCCCGGCCAAGGAAAUGCUCCUCAGGCGGAGCGGGCUUGUGUGGGGCGAGAGAGCCUCUCCCGGCGGGUUACACGGGCCUGCCCCGGGCUGUACGGCGUGAAGGGCGCAGCGUCUCGGUGGGAAGGGGCGAGGCCGGGACGCGGCGGAGCGGCGGCGUUUCCCGCCUCUGGGCGGUGGUCAGACGCCGUCGUGGUGGUGGGUGCGGGAAACAGCAUAUCCUGGUUUUCUUCAUCUUGAAGCUGUUGGGUAAAGGAAGAAGCAAAGGGCAAUAUGCGGAACAGCAAAAGACAAAAUUCAGUUGGAGAAACUGGACAUACCGUGCCAUCCCCCUACCCCCCAGGAAAAGGAGCAUAAGGAUUGCACGACUGAUAUGAGCUGAGAGACUGAUCUAAGGGCUUGUUACCCAGCUGACAUUUUCAGAACAUGGCCUCGUACAAGGAAAAACUUACAGCUCGUAGGAACUGAAGAAUUUCAAUGCUGAUUCAGACCCACCGCCUACCAGCUUCAGGACCCUACCUAGAGACCAGUAGAUUAUUCAGCAGUGAAAAGUGGAAUGAAGAGAAGCCUAGAGAAAAGCCCCCAAAUAUACUGUGGGAAGUAAAAAGAAAAAAAAGAAGGAAGGGGAAGGAGAAGAGGAGCAGCAUAGGGCAGAACCAGCACUGUUUCCAGCAAUGAUCAUACUUUCUCAUUGGAUGAAGCAAGAGGUGUUUAUCAAGUAAAUAAAGAUAUAAAAAAAUUAAUAUAUUAAAGGCAUUUAUGAUUAUUAAUUUUAUUCUCAUCACACGUUCCCAGGAUACAGCUGCAAUAGAAUAUGUUUCGUCUACUUUUAAGAAC